CAUUCUGCCCUUUUCGAUGCUCCUUUUCUCUUCUCAUUUAAGUACCAGGAGGAGCUCUUCUUUCUGAGGGUGAACAAGAUCACCUGAUUCCUCCACCUCGCGGUGCCUUUUGGAGAGUGACUUCUUUGUUGCUGCUGGCUGAAUGAUUGCUCAUUCAUUCCUCCAUGAUGGGCCGGGCCUUGGAGGACUCAGCCCAGCUGUUCUGCAUGUGCUCUUUGGUGGAAGCCCAGAAGAAGUCAUGAUGAACAUAUCAAGGACUGUGCUGACCUCGAUAUCCGCAAGACAGUCAAAGUGGAACUUGGAAGAAGCUCAAGACGGGUUAAACAGUUACGAAGGGGCUUAAAAGAGACGCUGAUCUGGCCUUUGCUAACUGAGAGGAGAGACACAAUUCCCCUCCUCUUUCCAAGAGCAUGUGAUGUACAGCGCACACCACAGAGCACAACUUGUUGAAUUCAGCCCUUCACCCUU
ensembl:lncRNA